GACGAACGCUGGCGGCGUGCCUAAUACAUGCAAGUAGAACGCUGAAGAGAGGAGCUUGCUCUUCUUGGAUGAGUUGCGAACGGGUGAGUAACGCGUAGGUAACCUGCCUUGUAGCGGGGGAUAACUAUUGGAAACGAUAGCUAAUACCGCAUAACAAUGAAUGACACAUGUCAUUUAUUUGAAAGGGGCAAUUGCUCCACUACAAGAUGGACCUGCGUUGUAUUAGCUAGUAGGUGAGGUAACGGCUCACCUAGGCGACGAUACAUAGCCGACCUGAGAGGGUGAUCGGCCACACUGGGACUAAGACACGGCCCAGACUCCUACGGGAGGCAGCAGUAGGGAAUCUUCGGCAAUGGGGGCAACCCUGACCGAGCAACGCCGCGUGAGUGAAGAAGGUUUUCGGAUCGUAAAGCUCUGUUGUAAGUCAAGAACGAGUGUGAGAGUGGAAAGUUCACACCGUGACGGUAGCUUACCAGAAAGGGACGGCUAACUACGUGCCAGCCGCCGCCGUAACAC
rnacentral:rRNA from 1 species